rnacentral:rRNA from 1 species
CAGUAGCCGCGGUAAUACGAAGGGGGGCUAGCGUUGUUCGGAAUUACUGGGCGUAAAGCGCACGUAGGCGGAUAUUUAAGUCAGGGGUGAAAUCCCGCAGCUCAACUGCGGAACUGCCUUUGAUACUGGGUAUCUUGAGUAUGGAAGAGGUUAGUGGAAUUGCGAGUGUAGAGGUGAAAUUCGUAGAUAUUCGCAGGAACACCAGUGGCGAAGGCGGCUAACUGGUCCAUAACUGACGCUGAGGAGCGAAAGCAUGGGGAGCGAACAGGAUUAGAUACCCCCGUAGUCCCUGUCUCUUAUA